rnacentral:rRNA from 1 species
GACGUAGGGGGCCAGCGUUGCUCGGCAUUACUGGGCGUAAAGGGUUCGUAGGCGGUGCGACAAGUCGGAAGUGAAAUCUCCGGGCUUAACUCGGAGGCUGCUCCCGAAACUGCCGUGCUGGAGUGCGGGAGAGGCGAGUGGAAUUGCAGGUGUAGCGGUGAAAUGCGUAGAUAUCUGCAGGAACAUCCGAGGCGAAGGCGGCUCGCUGGAUCACAACUGACGCUGAGGGACGAAAGCUAGGGGAGCAAACAGG